ACAGUGAUGCCAAAAACCAGCCCUCAGUUCUCUUGUUGAGACCUUGCUGCUAGGACAUCCCGGACCAGUGCUUUAUGUUUUUCCCAGUUUCGUCUCCGUGUUGACCACACUCUGCCUUUGGCCUUCUCCACCCUGCAGUGCUACUGUCUGCCAGCUCCAGCUCUUUCGCUGACAAUGCCUCAGGAUCUAUUCUCUGCUGCUUUGGGCAGACUCACAGCAUCAUCUGGAACUGCUGAGAGUGCCACCAUAUGAAGGAGCAGUGAGAACCUGCUGGCUGCACUUCGGAACAAGAUGAUCUCUCUUCCUCCAUGACUGAUAGAAGAGGUCAUAACAGCAGCUCUACCUCUGUAGGGACAGGGCCUCAGCUUUGUACCCCAAAUAAAGCUCCUGCUUUUAGGUAAACCUGAUGGACUUGAGAACUUCCCUGAACCUACUCAAGAUAUAUCCAGUGCAGCACAGCACUAUGGAGCCUUGUGUCUUUCUCUGUGGGGGAAAGUCCAGAGGACUGAGGCUGGAAAAUCUCAAAUAUACAUGGGGUGAAGGAGCAGUGUGACUGCACAAGCCCUACCCGUAGGUUUGGCUGAGAGCAAGGCAGGAUGAUGCACAUGAUGCCUUCAGGUAGAUGGAUUUCUGCAAAACUAUUAAUUUUGAUAAAGAAUACAUUUCUGGAGUUAUUGUUAAAACUGUAAAAGCAAGAUUGUCUUCAUGACCCAGAGUUCAACUCAAAAUUUGUGCAAGAAAAUUUCAGUGGCUGCUGCACACAGUGCUUGGAGUUAACAUCAUUAGAGUCCAGGAGGGCUGCUGUGGAGGCAUGGAACAUCAUGGCACGGUACAGCACAGCAUGGUAUGGCAUGGCACGGCACAGCAUGGCAUGGCAGCUGCACAUCCCAGCUCCUCCGAAACAGGGAGGCCCCAACUGCCUACACUCUGGGCUCUGCAGGCACAGGAGGCAGUGUUGGCCAUUCCUGCUGCAUCCCUGCCUCCAUCACCCCUCUGCUUCUCAGCCAGGAAAAAGGCACUGCAAACACAGGAGAGAAGGCUACUGAAGAUACAGAGGAAGGCUUGCCAAACACUAAAUGGUCUGAGGGCAGAGAAGAACACAACAUGUUUCAGCUUGGCUCAGUAGAGCCAAAACUGCAGUAAAAAAUUCCUUCCUAAUUCCUGAACGACCUCUAAAAAAUCUUCAAGCAAGUCCUGCUCCCCACCAUGAGCAUUGCAGCAUCCAUGCUCAGAACAGCAGGUAGCUUUUCCACAUUUUCUUCUCUCAGCAUCCCCUUAGCUUCAGUGCCGAAGUGCUGGUCCUUGAUCUCACCUGAAGACAAACCUAUUGCUAUCCACCUGACAACCUUAAUUUCUGUUUAAGCAAUGUAUAUACAUAUCAAUCAACAAGAUUUGUAGGAGUGCAUUACAGUGGAAGACAGAAAUCUUGGGGAAAGCUGGAAUCCUGACUGGCUCAAAGACAUGAACUUUAGAGUCAGGACAACUAGAUGUAUCAACAAAUACUGUUUUGGUCAUUUUAGAAGCCUCUAAAACUCAAUUAUUGGUAAGACUUUCCUCUGUCAGAGGUAUUUCCCACAUGAUUCAGAGACAUUUGUCAGUAUAAUUCAUCACUCACUAACAUUUUUAAGUUUCAGGUAAAGGACAGGAUCACAUCCCCAGCCUCUGCAGCCACAUAAUGUGCCUUGGAACCAGAGCAGGUGCUUUUCUUCAUGCAUGGCAAAUUUUCAGCCGACACCUGGAUGUUCCCUGUGCAGGAAGAAGAGGCAGUCAGCAUACCUCGACCUGGACAACAGGACAUUUCUAACACAGCUCCCCUGCAUGGGGGGACGCAGCAGCAGGACCAACCUGUCCCCACUCUGCCCACCCCUGAGCCCUUCUAGGAUGCAUGGGUGCUGCAAAACUGCCGGGCCCUUCUUUAAAGGGUAUCUUUGGGCCCAUUUAGAAAUGCUUGCACUGUAACUACUCCAAAUUUCUCCAGACCUUCCCAAUGAAGUAGCCAUCUAUCCCAUCACACAGUUCCUUUCAAUGUCCUAUUACACACCCAGGUUCCACCUCAUGGUGUCCUCAAGGCAGGAAGAAUUUAGGCACCCACUCAGCAUUUCUCUAGGGAGAUUCCCAGGGCUCCCCUUGGCCUUUCCCAAGGCUGCUGUUGGCAGCAGCACAGCUGGGAUAAAGUACAGCCCUUUUCCAGGAGCCCUGCUCAGCUCUGACCUUCCCUGGGGAGUACUCCAGAGUUCAGUAGAGCUGCAUGGACACAUAUUUGCCAAGCUGAAGGGAAUACACAUUUGCUGCUGGAGAGAAUAAUUUCUCUGACUGCCCGGAUGGCCCCAGCCACUGGCUCUGUUCAGAGGCACUGAGUGACACCAUUUCUGGAGUGCCCUGCUAUGCUGGGGCCUUACAGCACCCUUCUGACCUUUCCUUUUUCAGCUGCCCAGCCAGUUCAUCCUCUGCACUCAGAGUCAUUUGGGUGCUCUGCCCGUGACUCUCUGGAGUUGCACAGUGUUCUUGCCUUGUCUCCAUGCUCAGUCAUCCAUGCUGAAUUAUCUUCUACUCCUCCCUCUGGGAAUAACCAGGGCUUUGACCUAGUGGGACUGUUUGUGUGCUCGAAUGUUUUGAUGUACCAGACACUCAGCUGCUUCCUUCCAAAUCUAAGGUGGCUGGGGAUUUCAGGCUGUUUUUAGAAACAGCGAGUGUACACUGGGAAGCAUAAUCUAACUUAAAAAGUCAGCAAAGGGCAAUGACUUGUGCAAGUAUUUUGUCUAUCAUCUUUAAACCCUUCUGUUUUCUAUAGUUUCCAAACAGCUGUCUUUUCAAGUUUGGGAUGUCCUAUGUAAGAUACACAGUUAUAAUAAGAAAUAUAUUUAAUUUCAUUUCAGAAUCCUCAGGGAGAAGGGGCUAUUUCUUUUUUACUGACUUAAGAUAAAGUUUGUAAUUUCAUUUUGAAAGUUGUUCUGAACAUCUGGGGGAAAUCAGAAGACUGGCCCCACUUUUCCCCAGGUUUUCCUGAAUCCACAUUUGGACCACAACCCAAACAAAAUUCUGAGCAUGGUUAUAGUUUACACCUUUCAUGCACUGUGUAAUUUAGCUUCCAGCAACAUAAAAUGGGAUGGCAGAAAUAUUUUUAUGUGUCCUUACAAUGUCCAAAGUUGUUUGUAACUGUUUUUAUUAGAAGGAACCAGACACAAUCCUGGCUGCCUUAACCACUGCCUUUGAGAGAGCUACAGCUGAGAAAAUCCGCUGCCAGGAAGAAGUGAAUAGAACUAACAAGGCUAUUGAGCUGGCCAACAGAUUAGUGAAAGGUCUGAGGUGAGGUCCUACAGGGCAGGCUAAUGAAGCAGCCUACAGAAAGCACUUCUUUGUUAUACACUACUGAUCUGGCAAUAACAGAGGCACUUAGCAAAGAACCUGAUGAGCUGAAAAAAUUAUGUCAUUAUCAUUCAUUUUUUUCAUAAUAGAAACAUGGUUUUGACCUUUGCAUUUUCUUACCUUUUUGCUUCAUUGUGGUAUAUCUUAGCUGUAAGAUUACCUGGUAACUAACCUAUCCUCAAACAUUAAGGGCAGUAGUCGAUUGUAGAUAUUGACAAUGACAGCAAUUUAUUAAAAUGCGAUGGCUAUAUUUGUAACAAUUAAACAACACUAAUGAUUCUGCCCAGGACUGGGAUACACAGAAUCUAAUACAAUUUGCACUAGUUAGUUAAGCAAUAUGAUAAUUCUCUAAUUAUCUUUCUGAGAUUUGCAAUGGGUAUUUCAGGAGAAAAUAAAUAAUGGCAAACCCAUCAAUUAUCAAAAAUCCAUACUGUCUGUUGAUCCAGGCUGGCUCAAGGGAAUCCAUACUCACUGAUGGAUUUUUUCAUUUAUCAUUCAUCUACUGGUAAGACUGCUUUUUAUACACACACAUACAUACACUUUUUACAGAUACUUUAUUUUAUUUCAACAUUCAUUUAGGAAAUCUCUCAUGGUGUCUCACUGCCAUUAAAGGUUUUGUCCUCUUCUACCCAAUACUUUCAAGCUGAGUUUGAUGACCAAACACAUAGUGAACAGCAAAAAUAGAAGAUAUAUUUGUUAUUGAGCAAAAUUAUAUGGCUGAAUGUAGCUAGUGGAACUUAAAAUAUAAAACAGGGUUUAAGAAUUAUUUCCUGAAUCAAUAGAAAGGAUUUAUUGACUAAAGGGGAGGGAGGGCAGUGCAGAAGACCCAUUGUUUCUGUUUAAGGAAGCAAGAUGAAUGCAUUUAAAAUGUUAACAUCCUGGCUGAAAGUGUAAUGUAUUUUCGUGAUUAAUAAUGCCUGUAAAACUAAACCAUGUACCUAAUACAGAAUAAUAAAAUAAAUAACAUAGCAGAUCUCUUUAAAGUGUGACAAUAAAUGAUUGUUCUAAUAUUUUCUUCCACCUAACAUAUCAUAUUGUUUGGUUCUCCCAUGUGCCUCCUGCUGGGCCUGACAAGUGCUGGAAUAGCAUACGUAGAGAGAUGAAAGGCAAAGUGUGGGUAUGCUGGGGGGGAGGCAUAAUGAAAAAUAAUCUAAAGGAGGAAACAGAGAUGAAAGGAAAGAAGGAAAGUUGAGCCAUGCACUAGAUGAAGAUAGUAAAAUGAGUUUUAAUGGAAAGUCCUUCAGCUAGUACCUCCCAAAGCACCCAUGAAGAAGAUGACCAGCUCGACAGAUUGGUGAUGGGAAAUAGAAUUCAUUCCUGUUUUUAGCUUUACCACACUUGGUCAAAGACAGUAAUAACCAUAUGACAGCUCUUCAGUGACUUAUGGGAAAAAUCCAUUUUAAUAUAGUCUCUGGUAAACAAUAGGUCACUGUUUACUAUUAGCAAACAGUGUAACACUGACACUGCUCUACUGUCAGUCCUGGCUGUUUCUUUGCCUUAUUUUUACAGAGAAGACACUCUCUUAUUUCUCUAUUUGUAUUUGCUGUGAGGAGAAUUUCUUAAGAAAUACAAAAAUAAAAUUAUUCACAGCAUUUUUUAUAAUAAACAUGCAAAUGUUUCUUUAUUAACUGGUCCUUAUAUACACAACUUUACCAUGACAAUAAUAAUAAGUGACCAAAUAUGUGAGUUUUCAUCUAAUUCUUAGGGAAAGUGUUCACCAAAUAGCAGAAAAGCUGAUCAUGUCUAGCCAGGAUCCCAGGGAAAAGCUUGUAUCAACUGUCACGUCAAAUUUCUAAUUGACUUUAUGGCAUAAAAGAUCCUGCCCAGAAGUAAAAAAGAAAACAAAAUUCUGCCUUCUCCUGUGAGCCCUGGCAUGCAAGGACUGUUUUUUGGGUGGUUGCAUCAGUAGCUGUUACUCUGUACCAAGGAAUUCUUUGCUUCUGACAGGUGCCAAUUAUGUUGUGGACAUCUGCCCUGAAGGCAUUGAAUCAAGCUGACAACUCAUUUUAUAUCAAUCAAACAACAACCAUUUUCAAUAAUUUCCCAUCCAGCUGGGACUGAAUUUGCACAAGUGAUCUAUGUAUUAGAGACAUUACCAAUCCACAGAGACAUUCAGAACCAUGAUUAUGUUCUGUUUUCCCACAGAAACUCUUGCAUCUGCACGAAAAAGCAACAACUUUUUCCACUAUGCAGGAGGAUGCUGACAACUCAAUUUUGGUCACUUGCUGCCAAGCUCAACUUGCAACAGUCAACUCACGUCACAUUGGAAGGGGAUUUUUUAUGUCCAGGCUUGCCACUUGCAAAUUCUGUCUGUUGAUCCUCUAAUUAAUGUGGAUCUGUGAAUCUGCAAGGCGGCACAUAAUCCAACCAGCACUGUGUGACUCACCCUCCAUGGAAACAAAGGAUUGCUUCAGCAGAAGGUACCUGGGCAGCAGAAGCUGGGAAUGUUAGAACAGUUUCCCUUAACCCAUGGAAAAAAGUAACUGAAGUUUUAAUUGAUAAAAACUAUGCUUACAAUGAAGUAGGAAAACAGAAUAUUUUAAACAGAG